GACGAACGCUGGCGGCGUGCCUAAUACAUGCAAGUAGAACGCUGAAGGAGGAGCUUGCUUCUCUGGAUGAGUUGCGAACGGGUGAGUAACGCGUAGGUAACCUGCCUGGUAGCGGGGGAUAACUAUUGGAAACGAUAGCUAAUACCGCAUAAUAGUAGAUGUUGCAUGACAUUUUCUUAAAAGGUGCAAUUGCAUCACUACCAGAUGGACCUGCGUUGUAUUAGCUAGUUGGUGAGGUAACGGCUCACCAAGGCGACGAUACAUAGCCGACCUGAGAGGGUGAUCGGCCAAACUGGGACUGAGACACGGCCCAGACUCCUACGGGAGGCAGCAGUAGGGAAGCUUAGGCAAGGGACGGAAGUCUGACCGAGCAACGCCGCGUGAGUGAAGAAGGUUUUCGGAUCGUAAAGAUCUGUUGUAAGAGAAGAACGAGUGUGAGAGUGGAAAGUUCACACUGUGACGGUAUCUUACCAGAAAGGGACGGCUAACUACGUG
rnacentral:rRNA from 1 species